rnacentral:rRNA from 1 species
CCUACGGGGGGCAGCAGGCGCGAAAACUUUACCAUGCGGGCAACCGUGAUAAGGAAACCCCGAGUGCCAGCAUAGGCUGGCUGUCCGCCAGUUUAAAAAACUGGUGAAGAAAGGGCCGGGCAAGACCGGUGCCAGCCGCCGCGGUAAUACCGGCGGCUCGAGUGGUGGCCACUAUUACUGGGCUUAAAGGGUCCGUAGCUUGAUAUGCAAGUCUUUUGAGAAAUCCGCCAGCUUAACUGGCGGGCGUUCAGGGGAAACUGCAUUUCUUGGGACCGGGAGAGGUGAGAGGUACUGCCGGGGUAGGAGUGAAAUCCUGUAAUCCCGGUGGGACCACCUAUAGCGAAGGCAUCUCACCAGAACGGGUCCGACAGUGAGGGACGAAAGCUGGGGGAGCAAACCGGAUUAGAUACCCCCGUAGUCC